GCUCGGGUGGCGGAACAGGCAGACGCAGCGGACUCAAAAUCCGCCGGUGGUGACACCAUAGGAGUUCGAUUCUCCUCCCGAGCACCA
rnacentral:tRNA from 1 species